UCUCAAAAAGAAAAAGAUCCCGACGGUAAAAAAAAAGAGAUCCCGACGGCCGGCGGACGGCGAGGUGUAUAGCGGGUGGCAGCAGCCGAGCAGCAUGCAGAUGCAGUCACGGCAUGGUCGUCCCUUGCCCGGCGCGUCGCCGGGGGAGCGCCGUCAGCACCGAUUCAUUCUCCGCUGUCCUCCCAAGGAAUCUCCACGGGAUUAUAUCGACACUUUGCAUCAUUCUUUCGCUUUAUUAGCCGAGACGAGAGAUCUGUUAAGACUUGGGGGAGGUGGCAAAGAUGGACUUUCCAGUGACUUCGAUAUGAUGUAUUUGUCCCAUUUAACUGCUUUUUACGAUUACUAAAAUGUAUCGAGGCUGUGGGCAAAAAUACAAAAAUCUUGACAUCUCAGAUGAGGCUAACAGUGUUAUAUCAUGGAAUUCUUUGCUAUAUCAAUCUUUUUUAAACUCGGCACAUCCACACUAAUUGGUUAUUAAGAAAUGUGUAGA